CUGGGGCUGGAGAAGGUCCCAAGGGUUCGGCUGUUCGCCGAUUAAAGUGGCACGUGAGCUGGGUUCAGAACGUCGUGAGACAGUUCGGUCCCUAUCUGUGAUGGGCGUAGGAAAUUUGAGAGGACCUGACUUUAGUACGAGAGGACCGAGUCGGAUAAACCGCUAGUGUACCUGUUGUGGCGCCAGCUGCAUCGCAGGGUAGCUAUGUUUGUUCGAGAUAAGCGCUGAAAGCAUCUAAGCGCGAAGCUCUCCUCAAGAUGAGAUUUCCUUAUCAGGGCCGUUAUAGACUAUGACGUUGAUAGGUUGCAAGUGUAAAGGUAGCAAUACCAAAGCUGAGCAAUACUAAUUGCCCGAAUGCUUUUUCUG
rnacentral:rRNA from 1 species